AACGAACGCUGGCGGCAGGCCUAACACAUGCAAGUCGAACGGGACCUUCGGGUCUAGUGGCGGACGGGUGAGUAACGCGUGGGAACGUGCCCUUUGGUUCGGAAUAGCCCCGGGAAACUGGGAGUAAUACCGGAUAAGCUCUACGGAGGAAAGAUUUAUCGCCAAAGGAUCGGCCCCCGUUGGGUUAGGUAGUUGGUGAGGUAAUGGCUCACCAAGCCGACGAUCCAUAGCUGGUUGGAGAGGAUGAUCAGCCACACUGGGGCUGAGACACGGCCCGAACUCCUACGGGAGGCAGCAGUGGGGAAUCUUAGACAAGGGGGGAAACCCGGAUCUAGCCAUGCCGCGUGAUCGAUGAAGGCCUUAGGGUUGUAAAGAUCUUUCAGUGGAGAAGAUAAUGACGGUGCCCACAGAAGAAGCCCCGGAUAACUCCGUGCCAGCAGCCGCCGCCG
rnacentral:rRNA from 1 species